UGGCUCAGGAUGAACGCUGGCGGCGUGCUUAACACAUGCAAGUCGAACGGAGUUUUAACGGAAGUUUCGGAUGGAAGUUAAGAACUUAGUGGCGGACGGGUGAGUAACGCGUGGGUAACCUGCCUCAUACAGGGGGAUAACAGUUAGAAAUGACUGCUAACACCGCAUAAUAUAGCGAAACCGCAUGAUUUUGCUAUCAAAUAUUUAUAGGUAUGAGAUGGGCCCGCGUCUGAUUAGCUAGUUGGUGGGGUAAAGCCUACCAAGGCGACGAUCAGUAGCCGGCUUGAGAGAGUGACCGGCCACAUUGGGACUGAGACACGGCCCAAACUCCUACGGGAGGCAGCAGUGGGGAAUAUUGGACAAUGGGGGAAACCCUGAUCCAGCGAACCGCCGCGUGAGUGAAGAAGUAUUUCGGUAUGUAAAGCUCUAUCAGCAGGGAAGAUAAUGACAGUACCUGACUAAGAAGCCCCGGCUAACUACGUGCCAGCAGCCGC
rnacentral:rRNA from 1 species